rnacentral:rRNA from 1 species
GACGGAGGAGGCUAGCGUUAUUCGGAAUUACUGGGCGUAAAGCGUGCGCAGGUUGUGAGUUUAGUUGGAUGUGAAAGCCCGGGGCUUAACCUCGGAUGUGCAUCCAAUACUGGCUCGCUGGAGGUUGGAAGAGGAGAGUGGAAUUCCCAGUGUAGAGGUGAAAUUCGUAGAUAUUGGGAAGAACACCAGUGGCGAAGGCGGCUCUCUGGUCCAUACCUGACACUCAUGCACGAAAGCGUGGGGAGCAAACAGG